AUACCUCCUAUCAGAUAGACCAGAAUUCCCCAUGCUACAAGGAGACAAAGCAGGUACAGUUACUAUAGCAACAGUCUCAUCUCUGCGAAUUCCCAAAUGUGGGAAUCUCAACUGCAUAAUUUAUGGUAGUGGGGGACUGCGUUCGCGCUCUCCCCUG
rnacentral:snRNA from 1 species